rnacentral:rRNA from 1 species
GACGAACGCUGGCGGCGUGCUUAACACAUGCAAGUCGAGCGGUAAGGCCUCUUCGGGGGUACACGAGCGGCGAACGGGUGAGUAACACGUGGGUGACCUGCCCUCAGCUCUGGGAUAAGCCUGGGAAACUGGGUCUAAUACCGGAUAUGACCUUUCCUCGCAUGGGGGUUGGUGGAAAGUUUUUUCGGCUGGGGAUGGGCCCGCGGCCUAUCAGCUUGUUGGUGGGGUGGUGGCCUACCAAGGCGACGACGGGUAGCCGGCCUGGGAGGGCGACCGGCCAGACUGUGACUGAGACACGGCCCAGACUCCUACGGGAGGCAGCAGUGGGGAAUAUUGCGCGAUGGGCGGAAGCCUGACGCAGCGCCGCCGCGUGGGGGAUGACGGCCGUCGGGUUGUAAACCUCUUUCGACCCCGACGAAUUUGGACGGUAGGGGUAGAAGAAGCACCGGCCAACUACGUG